rnacentral:rRNA from 1 species
GAUGAACGCUGGCGGCGUGCUUAACACAUGCAAGUCGAACGAUUAAAGCACCUUCGGGUGUGUAUAAAGUGGCGAACGGGUGAGUAACACGUGGGCAACCUGCCCCUCACACUGGGAUAGCAGUUGGAAACGACUAUUAAUACCAGAUACUCCGUACGGAUCACAUGGUCUGUACGGGAAAGCUCCGACGGUGAGGGAUGGGCCCGCGGUCCAUUAGUUAGUUGGUAGGGUAACGGCCUACCAAGACAGCGAUGGAUAGCCGAGUUGAGAGACUGAUCGGCCACACUGGGACUGAGACACGGCCCAGACUCCUACGGGAGGCAGCAGUGGGGAAUUUUGCGCAAUGGGGGAAACCCUGACGCAGCAACGCCGCGUGCGGGAUGAAGGCCUUCGGGUUGUAAACCGCUUUCAGUAGGGAUGAGAUUGACAGUACCUACAGAAGAAGCUCCGGCUAACUACGUGCCAGCCGCCGCAGUAAAAC